AAAACUAGCCAGUCUUUUGGGUAUGAAACUCAUAUGGGCGAGAAUAGUACUAGGAUGGGUGACCUCCUGGGAAGUCCUCGUGAAAGGCUUUC
rnacentral:rRNA from 1 species